UGUCACCCUGCGGCUGUCCUUGCCAUGCUUCCUUGGACCCCCAUCUACCCCCGGUUUUGGGUGACAGGACGAGUUGGGCCAGUUACCAGGAGGAAGUCCCGAGCCACGGAAAUUCGGUAAGGAUCGGAUAAUGGCAAUGAAAUCACAGCUCUAAAUCUUUUCAUGGAGUUGAAGACAGACAUUUUACUGUGGGAGCCAUCUCAUCUUUAUCUGCCUGAGUCGAAGGUGGUAAAGAGGCCAAGAAUUCCCAAGCUUUCCCAGGCAAGUGGGGAAGAACACUGGGAUGCCUUUUCCUCCUCCUCCGUCCAUCUGCAGGCCAAGUGUGCAUCGGUCACAGGCAAACUCUGAAUCGAGCUUUGUGCAAGUCUCUGGAAAGAGACCCAAGAUCGUGUGAGGAGCAAAAGUGACAGUGCUGGUGGCAGCGACAUCUGCAGAGCCAGCCCCAUCCCUGUCUGCAGCAGAAUACGUAUGGGAAUCCUUUGUGCGAACAAUCCACCCAGGAUAGAAUGGGGCUUUUGACAUCAGUGGAGACCCAGGCUGCCUUACAAUGAGAGGCCUGUUGGUCAAAGGAAGGACUAUUUAAUGAACUGAGAAUCUGAGGCCAGCUCUGGCCAUCUGCACUUAGAAUCAUUAGAGCAACUCUACUGUAACUGGCAACAUUGAAUAAUGCAACAAAUUCAUAUUUCAAAAUUGUGAACUUUAAAAUUUUGUGCUUGUGUCUAUGAUGAAAAGCAUUAUAUAAACAUUUGAUACUACCAUUUUAUUAGUAAGGAAGCCUGAAAAAGUGUCUCUCUUUUGACUCUGAGGUCAAUAAUGAUAAUGGUUUUUCACCUACACUGGGAUAGAAAUGUUCUGUCAAGGAUAUGAAAGCACUUUAUGAGGAUGAAAUUCAUUAAAGCCCUUAAUAAUCAGGUAGGGAAGACAGGUGCUCACAAUUGUCACCACUUGAUGAGUGAACACACCGAGGCUCGGGGAGGACAAUGACUCAGGAACAAGGUCGAAUCGCAGGUGGGGGGUGAAGCUGAUCCCUAACAGCAUCCUCCAGCCCCCAGCGCUGAGGAAGGACAUGGAGGGCUUGCAUCGACUUUUCCUGGCAGGCUUGUGAUUCCCAGCCAGAAUGCAGGUGGCAAUGUUAUGAUUCCUGGCAUAACCUUCAAUGCUUCAAUGAUAAUCUCUGCCAGUGCCAGGCACCAGCUGAGUGUCACUGUGCAACUCCCAGGCUUAAGUGAUGCAUGCCGAGGUUUUCAGAGCAGUCUCUCAUUUAUUAGUUGUGUUGGAAAGAAAUCUCUACUACCUAAGCGGGUACCUCUGGAUUUUAACAGCUGUGGUUUAUAAGAGAUUUGAGAGGGGAUUUGUUUUCAAAGUGCCUUUCACAAAGUAACACCUUGGAUUGUAGUUUACAUUCCAUUCCAGUAGGAUAACUUGCAACACUUCUGUGCUCAGAAAUCCAGCUGUGCAAGAAAAGUCAGGUUAUAUUUUCAUACAGCCCAUUUUGGCAAGUAUGCCUUCACCCCACUUUCCCUCCUCCUCACCGCUAUUGGCAAUAGUCCAAAUGGAAGUUUUAUGUCAAAUGUUGAGUAUCUUGGAAGCUGUCCUGCACAGACACGACUGCUUGGCUGCGUGUUGGAGAGUCGUGGUUGGACUGGGAGACCAGGAAGGUCCCUUCUAGCCUGAGAUGUUAUGACUCUAGAACUAAUUAGUUUCAACUCAUAACAUGAAAUGCUACUAGCUACCAUUUGGUAGGCUUUUUCUGUGUUCCAGGCUCUGUGCUAAGAUCUUAACAUUACUCUAAUUACAAAAUCCCUGCCAAUAUUAACCUCAUUUUACACAAGAACAAAGGGGUUUAGGGAAAUCAAAAACUUGUCCAAUGACACAGAUUUAAGAUUUAGCAACUGAUGGCCACAUGGAAAUGGAUUACAGAUUAUUCUAAUUUGACGCUCUAAACCCGCAAUUUAACCAGAAUGAAAUUUAGGGCUGCGUGCUGUGGCUCAUGCCUGUAAUCCUAACACUUUGGGAAGCCAGGUGUAUCCCUUAAGCCCAGGAGCUUGCGAGCAACUUGGGCAACAUGGUGAAACCUGUAUCUACACAAAACACAAAAAUUAGACAGGUGUGGUGGUGUAUGCCUGUAGUUCCAGCUACUCGGAAGGCUAAGAGAAGGGAGGAUCGCUUGAGCCUAGGAGGUUGAGGCUGCUGCAAGCUGUGAUGGUGCCACUGCACUCCAGCCUGGGCAACAGAGGCAGACCCCAUCUCAAAAAAAAAAAAAAAAAAAAUGUAGGUACCUUGUGAUUGCCCUUCUCUGAGAUUAGCACAUGGCUCCAGCUCUCAGGGUGGCGAGUAAUGAUUCUGUGGUCAGAUGCAGUUUUGAAGUCAGGCAAGAAAACCUUUAACAAGAGCUAGAGAUGUCCUGUCUAUGAAUUUUUCCUCUAGGCUUAGGGAUAGCCCUGGGAUUCCUGUCAUGCCAGUUAGAGAUCCACUCAUGGUAAGCAAUACAAAUGCCCGGGAAGAGACAGUGCAUUAAUUGUCACCAGUUAGCAGCAUUGUGAGAAUUAAUGUGAUUUAACACAUGCCCAGAGGGAUGAAACUCUAGCUCCAUAGGGUAGGUCCUGAUGACUCCUGGAGCGGGCAGCCAGCUCAGCCAGCUCAGCUCACGGGGAGCUCUGAGAAGCCUCUCAAUGCCUGGCAUGCAGCCCCUGCUCAGGAGUCAUGUGUCACUUCAUAGUCUUGCUUUCCAGUGGGUCAAAGCCUGAUGUUUAUGAGAAACAAAUACUCAAAAUUCUGACUUGUGCGAAUACAGAACACAUGCAACAAAACGACCGCCAUCUAUUUUUAACAUGCAGUCUGCGAAGUCAGGUUUAAUAUGACUAUGUAACAUAUAAAGAAUAUAUUUUCCACAAAAGGAAAAUGUAAAUAAU